rnacentral:rRNA from 1 species
AUGUUUGUGAAUGUUACUUUCUGGAGGAACGCAGAAUCGGCAGAAUCACAUGCAAAAAUGGCACAUAGUACAGGCUUGGUGCAAGCUAUUUUAUUUGAAGCAGCUGACAGGGAUAACAUUGGGGGUUCUGCCUAUGGUGGACAGAGGUCCAUUUGUUGCACCCCUGACCUUGCUAAACUAGAGGGCUGCAAACAAGGUGAAGUAAUCAGGAGGCCAUCUUCUGAUGAUCCAGAUUGGCCUGUCGUGGUAGAUACACACUUCAGUGCUAAUCACCUUUCAGUGAAGUUGGAUGACGAGGAAGUUCACAUUACAAAGACAGGCAUGUACAACUUGUUCUUCAUUUCUUGUGAUCCAAAAGUAAGGGGCCUUGCUAUGAGUGGGAAGACAAUCUGGAGAAAUCCUGGGGGGUACCUACCGGGACGAAUGGCACCUCUGAUGAGAUUUUAUGUUUUCAUGUCGCUGGCAUAUCUGUUAGUCAUGGUUGUCUGGUUUAGCAAUUACAUAAGGUUUUGGAGGGAUAUACUGCCAAUACAGAAUUGGAUCACACUAGUAAUUGCUCUUGGACUGUUUGAGAUGACACUAUGGUACUUUGAGUACUUAAACUUCAACAGCAGCGGUGUACGACCUGUCGGAAUUACAACUUGGGUUGUAACUGUUGGCGCUAUCAGAAAAACAAUUUCCCGUCUACUGAUCCUUUCUAUAUCCAUGGGAUACGGUGUUGUUCGCCCAACUCUAGGAGGGCUCACCUCUAAGGUUUUACUCCUUGGGCUUACGUAUUUCCUGGCUUCUGAAUUACUGGAUAUUUCAGAAAAUGUUGGAACAAUUAAUGACAUUUCAGGCAAAGCAAAGCUUUUCCUUGUCCUUCCUGAUGCAUUUUUGGAUGCUUUUCUCAUACUUUGGAUUUUCACUUCUCUUUCCCGCACUCUCGAGAAACUACAGGCAAGGAGGAGUUCUGUGAAAUUGGAUAUAUACAGAAAGUUUACAAAUGCACUGGCGGUCUCUGUCAUAGGUUCAGUUGUCUGGAUUGGCUAUGAGGUCUAUUUCAAAGCAACAGAUCCCUUUAGUGAGAGAUGGCAGAGUGCUUGGAUCAUUACAGCCUUCUGGGACGUUCUUGCAUUUGUUUUGCUUAUUGUGAUAUGUUAUUUGUGGGCACCUUCUCAAAGCUCACAAAGGUAUGCAUAUUCAGGCGAAGCUGUCGACGAUGAGGAGGAGUCUCAGUCUCUGACAAAGGGGUCUGAUGGUGAUGUAGGGAUGGUAAAGAUUGACAAAGACAGAAAUGCUGGUGUUAGCAGUGCUUUCAGCUUGGAAGAUGAUGAGGCUGAAGAGGACAAAAGAGAAUAG